UAUAGUGAUGAAUAUAAUCACAAUUGUCACUACCUCUGAGGCACAUUUUAUUUUCGUUUUGUAUCUGACCCUGGUGAUUGCAUCUAAGAACGGUGAUA
rnacentral:snoRNA from 14 species